GACGAACGCUGGCGGCGUGCUUAACACAUGCAAGUCGAACGGAAAGGCCCUGCUUGCAGGGUACUCGAGUGGCGAACGGGUGAGUAACACGUGGGUGAUCUGCCCUGCACUUCGGGAUAAGCUUGGGAAACUGGGUCUAAUACCGGAUAGGAACCAUCUUUAGUGUGGUGGUUGGAAAGUUUUUUCGGUGUAGGAUGAGCUCGCGGCCUAUCAGCUUGUUGUGGGGUAAUGGCCUACCAAGGCGGCGACGGGUAGCCGGCCUGAGAGGGUGUACGGCCACAUUGGGACUGAGAUACGGCCCAGACUCCUACGGGAGGCAGCAGUGGGGAAUAUUGCACAAUGGGCGCAAGCCUGAUGCAGCGACGCCGCGUGGGGGAUGAAGGCCUUCGGGUUGUAAACUCCUUUCGCUAGGGACGAAGCUUUGUUGUGACGGUACCUAGAUAAGAAGCACCGGCUAACUACGUG
rnacentral:rRNA from 1 species